UACGUAGGGUGCAAGCGUUGUCCGGAAUUAUUGGGCGUAAAGAGCUCGUAGGCGGUUUGUCACGUCGCUGUGAAAACCUAGGGCUCAACCUGGGCCUGCAGCCGAUACGGGCAAACUAGAAUUCGGUAGGGGAGACUGGAAUUCCUGGUGUAGCGGUGAAAUGCGCAGAUAUCAGGAGGAACACCGGUGGCGAAGGCGGGUCUCUGGGCCGAAUGAUUGACGCUGGAGGAGCGAAAGCGUGGGGAGCGAACAGG
rnacentral:rRNA from 1 species